ACACACCGCCCGUCACACCAUGGGAGUCGGAUAUGCCCGAAGCCAGUGACCCAACCGUAAGGAGGGAGCUGUCGAAGGUGGAGCCGAUAACGUGGGGUGAAGUCGUAACAAGGUACC
rnacentral:rRNA from 1 species